GGUGAACGCUGACAGAAUGCUUAACACAUGCAAGUCAACUUGAAUUUGGGUUUUUAACUUAGGUUUGGGUGGCGGACGGGUGAGUAACGCGUAAAGAACUUGCCUCACAGCUAGGGACAACAUUUGGAAACGAAUGCUAAUACCUAAUAUUAUGAUAAUAGGGCAUCCUAUAAUUAUGAAAGCUAUAAGCGCUGUGAGAGAGCUUUGCGUCCCAUUAGCUAGUUGGAGAGGUAACGGCUCACCAAGGCGAUGAUGGGUAGCCGGCCUGAGAGGGUGAUCGGCCACAAGGGGACUGAGGCACGGCCCUUACUCCUACGGGAGGCAGCAGUGGGGAAUAUUGGACAAUGGACCAAGAGUCUGAUCCAGCAACUCUGUGUGCACGAUGAAGUUUUUCGGAAUGUAAAGUGCUUUCAGUUGGGAAGAAAGAAAUGACGGUACCAACAGAAGAAGUGACGGCUAAAUACGUG
rnacentral:rRNA from 1 species